rfam:Ailuropoda melanoleuca scaffold25_179, whole genome shotgun sequence.
GCCUGGCUGGCUCAGUCACCAGAGCAUGUGAUUCUUGAUCUCAGGAUCAUGAGUUCAAGCCCCAUGUUGGGUG